rnacentral:rRNA from 1 species
CAGUCGCCGCGGUAAUACGUAGGUGGCAAGCGUUGUCCGGAAUUAUUGGGCGUAAAGGGCUCGCAGGCGGUUUCUUAAGUCUGAUGUGAAAGCCCCCGGCUCAACCGGGGAGGGUCAUUGGAAACUGGGAAACUUGAGUGCAGAAGAGGAGAGUGGAAUUCCAUGUGUAGCGGUGAAAUGCGUAGAGAUGUGGAGGAACACCAGUGGCGAAGGCGACUCUCUGGUCUGUAACUGACGCUGAGGAGCGAAAGCGUGGGGAUCGAACAGGAUUAGAUACCCCCGUAGUCCCUGUCUCUUAUAC